CAGCCCUAAACGAUGCGCGUUAGGUGUAUCGGUGACCACGAGUCACCGAGGUGCCGAAGGGAAACCGUGAAACGUGCCGCCUGGGAAGUACGGUCGCAAGGCUGAAACUUAAAGGAAUUGGCGGGGGAGUACCACAACGGGUGGAACCUGCGGUUUAAUUGGACUCAACGCCGGGAAGCUCACCGGAUAAGACAGCGGAAUGAUUGCCGGGCUGAAGACCCUGCAUGACCAGCUGAGAGGUGGUGCAUGGCGUGUGACUGU
rnacentral:rRNA from 1 species